rnacentral:rRNA from 1 species
UACGAAGGGGGCUAGCGUUGUUCGGAUUUACUGGGCGUAAAGCGCACGUAGGCGGGUCGUUAAGUCAGGGGUGAAAUCCCGGAGCUCAACUCCGGAACUGCCUUUGAUACUGGCGACCUUGAGGCUGGAAGAGGUUAGUGGAAUUCCUGGUGUAGCGGUGAAAUGCGCAGAUAUCAGGAAGAACACCCGUGGCUAAGGCGGCUCUCUAGUACGUGACUGACGCUGAGACGCGAAAGCGUGGGGAGCGAACAGG